rnacentral:lncRNA from 1 species
UGGCCUGGCGGACAGUAAUGCGACGAGGGAUAGCAGAUACCUUGUUAGGAGGUAUAGGAGCAGGGACCUAAAUUCAGUAGAUCUAGAAGCACUGAAAAAUAAGGCCAGUGUGGUGGAAACAUUGCAUUGUACUAUUGCCCAGGGACAAGAGCACCAGAUCGCUGAAUUGGUGCAAACUGGGGUAGACACAAUGAACUUGCAAUGGCAUACUUGGAAACACGUUAAUCAGGCGUUCUGGGCUCAAUAUGCCACCAUGAGGGACAUAACGAACAAAACAGCAUUAGCAUUGUGGUGUUCUGAACAACAAAUAUUAGCUAUUAUGCUGACAGAAAGGGAAAUGGACUGGGUACGAGCUAAAAAUAUGACAGUCUUAACUCCUCUGCUGACAAAACAUAAAAAUAACCUUUUCCUCCCUUAUGUUUCUGGAUGGUACAAGGCCCUGGAAUCAAACGUGUAUACAUCAACCCUCAUGGGGCACAUCACUAUACAAGUAAUACGGGUCCAACCACACAAAUAUGAAGUUACUCUGUGGCCCUUCAGAGCCCUCCCAGUUCUUCAGGGCAGACAUCUUUGGGCUCCUCGAUUGGUGGGAACGUAUUUAAAUGAACAAGGGGAAAUCAUAGACCAUCGCUUGUGUUCCAAGUGGACUGCACAACAAUGGGUAUGUCCCACCUUACCAAAAUUAGAAGAGCCCUGCUCCUUACAACAUAAAAGCUUGGCAACUUGUUACUGGGAUGAACUAAAUAACGGUCCCACAAAAGUGUAUUUCAAUAGAAAAAGUUGUGCCUGUGCCAUGGGAUUAGAGAGGCUUGUAUGGCAAGACAAAUACAUCUCAGAACCGCCUGUAAAACAGUGUAUGUGUAAUAUCACUAUGUUAAAAACUCCCACCCUAACCUAUUACUGCCCAACUCAUGAGGAUAAAGGAACUAACACGCUGGAUACCAGUAAUAUUCUAAACUUUAACUUCACUUUGGGAGUCAAUUGGACAAGUCUGUACAAACUAAUACAGGACAAUAGACAAAUUAGCCAACUGACUGAAGCCACAUGGACCCAGGUUCAAACACGCAGUUUGGCUAUUUUACAUCAGGGAUCUGAAAUAUUAAGAGUAUCUGCACAAGCGGAGCAAAUCAUAACGCACCAUUGGUAUGAUAUUUUAAAGGGAUGGUCCCCAUCCUGGUCUUCAACUUUAACAAUUAUAUUACAUCC